rnacentral:rRNA from 1 species
GUGCCAGCCGCCGCGGUAAUACAGAGGGUGCGAGCGUUAAUCGGAUUUACUGGGCGUAAAGCGUGCGUAGGCGGCUUCUUAAGUCGGAUGUGAAAUCCCUGAGCUUAACUUAGGAAUUGCAUUCGAUACUGGGAAGCUAGAGUAUGGGAGAGGAUGGUAGAAUUCCAGGUGUAGCGGUGAAAUGCGUAGAGAUCUGGAGGAAUACCGAUGGCGAAGGCAGCCAUCUGGCCUAAUACUGACGCUGAGGUACGAAAGCAGGGGGAGCAAACAGGAUUAGAAACCCCAGUAGUCC